AAUUGAGAAUUGCUUAUUCACUAUGGAGUAGUGAGAACUCUUUUUCUCUCUCACUCUCUCUGUCGCGCGAAGUGAAGAAAAAAUUGCAGAACUCCAUAACUCUAGCUUCACGUCCACGAAUCGAUCGGCACACAGCACACAGCACACCUUCCCUCCGAAUCCACCAUUAACAGUUCAAGGUGAAGGGAAGUGUUUGAGGAGAAGGGGCAUAAAAGAUGAUAGCUUACUUGCCUUGUUUGUCAGAGGCUAGAAAAAAGAUUAGGUGAAGCCUAGGAACCAAAUUCUAGAUUUAAGUUCCAGGCGUACCUUAGCGAGAUUUUAUGGACCAUGGACAUGUGUUUACUUUUUGUCUACAUUAACAAUAAUUCAUCACAUUAUAUGUGUACCAUGCGUGUACCCAAAAAAAGGUAAAGACUAUUAAAUGUCGACAUUUCCGUUAAAUUAUAUAUGCACCAGCUUAUUAUUAAGAGGUCUUUCAUUCAAAGCAAGUGAAUCUUGUAAAACCCAGUUCUCAUAAUUCUCAACACCUCUUGCCCUUACAGCAAUUACAAUUUUGUUGAAUUAUAUUUCUGUAACAUACGUCUAAUUAUUCAUUCAUGCUCUUGAUGCGGUAGCAUACUCGCUGAUGUCAGGUCAUUGAUAUUCUCCGUGUAAUGGAAGCCAAGUUCUUUCGCUUUCUUAAGAUUGUUGGAGUUGGUUUCAAAGCAAGAGCAGAAGCAGAAGGCCGUCUCUUGUACCUGAAACUUGGUUACAGCCAUGAGGUUGAACUGACUGUGCCUCCAGCAGUUCGUGUAUUUUGCUUCAAGAACAACAUUGUAUGCUGCACUGGGAUUGACAAGGGCAGGGUGCAUCAAUUUGCUGCCGCUGUUCGGAGUUGUAAACCUCCCGAAGUUUACAAAGGCAAAGGCAUAAUGUACAUUGAUGAAGU